AACGCACCUUGCGCCCCUUGGCAUUCCGAGGGGCACACCCGUUUGAGUGUCGUGAAAUCCUCAAAACCCCCUUUUCUUUCAUCGGAACGGGGAUUUUGGACUUGGAGGUUCAAUGCUUGCUUUUGCUUUCAAAGGCGAGCUCCUCUUAAAUGAAUCAGUGGGGUCCGCUUUGCUGAUCCUUGACGUGAUAAUAUGUUUCUACGUUUUGGAUCUGGCACUGUUUUCUCCGCUCCUAAUCGUCUCAUUGACAAUGAUGGUGCUUCGGUCCCCUGCCAUCUACGUUGGCGGGAGGCUGGACCCACAAAAAUAAAACCUUGACCUCAAAUCGGGUGAGACUACCCGCUGAACUUAA
rnacentral:misc_RNA from 1 species